UACGGGGGGGGCAAGCGUUGUUCGGAAUUACUGGGCGUAAAGGGCUCGUAGGUGGCCAACUAAGUCAGACGUGAAAUCCCUCGGCUUAACCGGGGAACUGCGUCUGAUACUGGAUGGCUUGAGUUCGGGAGAGGGAUGCGGAAUUCCAGGUGUAGCGGUGAAAUGCGUAGAUAUCCGGAGGAACACCAGUGGCGAAAGCGGCCACCUGGACUGCACCUGACGCUGACACGCGAAAGCUAGGGGAGCGAACGGG
rnacentral:rRNA from 1 species